UUGAACACCCUCGCUUUAAACCAGGGGUGUCAAACUCAUUUUCAUUUUGGGCCAAAUCAAAAAUCUGAAUGUUCUUAAAGGGCUGGUUGUGACAGAAUCUACUGACAAAACCAAUUAAAUUGUUAAAAUGUCAAUAAAUAGCUGUUCCUCCAGGGUUUUGGGAUUGUUUUAGUGUAUUAUGGAGAUAAAAAGACAGAUUUUGUGGCGCUAAUCAGAAAUGU